rnacentral:rRNA from 1 species
AACCAAGAAAUUUAGUCAUUCUUCUACGGUAAAAAGACAGUUAGGCAAAAAUAUGAAAAGGAUUAUCGGAUCUUUAGUAUAGGAGUAAAAUCUAAAUACUAAUAGUUAUACCAAACGUAAUUUGUUAAUGUGCUGAGUCUGUGAUAGCUUUAAGGGAAACUGGGAUUGGAUACCCCAUUAUUUUUAGUUGUAAAUUUAGUUUAGACUUACCGGAGUACUACGAAUAAAAAGUUUAAAACUCAAAGGGCUUGGCGGUGUUUUAGACCUCUCAGGGGAACCUGUCUCGUAAUCGACAAUCCACGUUAAACCUAACCUUUUAUAGCAAUACAGCCUGUAUACCGUCGUCGUCAGGUAACUUCUUAAAAUAUAGUAGUUAGCCCGAGAAUCAGAUUAAUUAAAACGUCAGAUCAAGGUGCAGCUAAUAAAAAGGUGAGGAUGGGUUACAAUUACAUAUUUGUAAUUACGGAAAAAUACUUGAAAUUAAGUAUUUUAAAGGAGGACUUGAAAGUAAUUUUAAUAAUAUAAAUAGAAUGAAUAGGGCUCUGAAACGUGC